CCUACGGGUGGCAGCAGUGGGGAAUUUUGGACAAUGGGGGCAACCCUGAUCCAGCAAUGCCGCGUGUGUGAAGAAGGCCUUCGGGUUGUAAAGCACUUUUGUGAACCGGACGGUACCUGAAGAAUAAGCACCGGCUAACUACGUGCCAGCAGCCGCGGUAAUACGUAGGGUGCAAGCGUUAAUCGGAAUUACUGGGCGUAAAGCGUGCGCAGGCGGUUAUGUAAGACAGAUGUGAAAUGCCCGGGCUCAACCUGGGAACUGCAUUUGUGACUGCAUGGCUAGAAUCUGGCAGAGGGGGGUAGAAUUCCACGUGUAGCAGUGAAAUGCGUAGAUAUGUGGAGGAAUACCGAUGGCGAAGGCAGCCCCCUGGGCUAAAUUGACGCUCAUGCACGAAAGCGUGGGGAGCAAACAGGAUUAGAUACCCUUGUAGUC
rnacentral:rRNA from 1 species